CAGAGGUCCAGUGAUCAGGGGCAUGUUGGGAUAUCCUCUAAAAUAUUAGAAAAAAUUGCUGCAUCUUGCAUCCCCUUACUCAAAGAAGAAAGCGCAAUCCCUGGGAAGCCUCUUCAGGUUCUGGAGAUAACACAUUCCAUCUAAUACUGCGGUGGCUCAUAUACCAGGUGACAACUUUAAGAUUUGGAGCCAUGUGACCUGGCAGAUCCCAGGGUGGUAGAGAUGACACUGGUGAGAAAAGAAACAGUGUUAAGUUUGUGGCAAAACCCAAUGGGACGAUCACAACACAAACACUUGGGAUGCUGGAGGAAGAACAUGCCAGCUGUAGGAGAGAAUCAUAUACCUUUUCAGAACAGCUUCUGGUGUGCUACUGGGCCAUGGAGGAAGGGAAACUUGACCAGGGCAUGCCAAGUGACUAUGCCUCUGUAACUUUCCAUCAUUAGCUAGAUUCUGUCAGACACACUGCAUCAUAGAGUCAGAUGGGCCCGGCACCCACUCAUCAUCAUAAGAUGGAAAUGUUAUCACAUGCUUCAUAUUUGGCUAUGGAAAAAAAUAUAUGGAAAUGUGAUACCUGAGAGCAAGCCCAAGCAGGAUCAGAGUGUGCAAGUAAGCUGCACAGGCAGGCAACCCAGAAACCCAUGUUACCCACUACAGUUCCAACAGCGUCUUUCACUCAACUCAUACCUGUGGCCAUAUUGGAAGAUGGGGGAGGGUCCAGCUGUAGCAGGCAGAAAGAGCCCAAGUUUGGUUUAUAGGUUGGUCAUCUCAGUAUGUGAGUGCAAGCCAAAAACUGAUGGCAACUGAAACAGAGCCAUUCUCAGGUGACUCUGUUGGCAGUGUCAAAGGAAAUCUUCCCAAUUGGUAGAGAGUAAAGUGACUGCCCACUUUGUGUGAAAGGAGAAGGGGCUCAAAGUGAGACUAUAUAUGGACUCAUGGACAGAGGCAAAGAGCUGGAUGGUCAGAAUCUUAGAAGGAAAAAGGCUGGAGGAUUGGAUAUAACAAAGUCUGGAGUAGAGGUACAUGCAUGAAUAUGGGGAGAGAGCACAAAGUGUGAAGAUCUUUGCCUCACAUGUCAACGCCCACUGAACUGCACCCACCAUCGAAGAAACCAAGUAGACAAAAUGACUUGGCUGGUUAUGUCAGCCAGCUAUUGACCAUUUUGGAACUGGCACAAGGAACACACGAAUGGACUGGCCAAGUGGCAGAAAUGGAGGCUAUGCAAUGGCCCAGCAGCAUGGACUCCCAACUUACCAAGGCCAAUUUAACAACUACUGUCUCUGAAUCUUCAACUAUGCAUUGGUAGAGACCAAUACUAAUAUCCUAACAUUGCACUCUUUCUCCAGACUAGUUGGCUGCUUGAUAGCAAGUUGACAACACUGGGCUUCUUUCAUCCUAGAAGGGCCAGUGAUUUGUUCUCAUGUGGCUAGAUUUGCUUUUUCUGGGUAAGGAUUUGACUUUCCUGUCUUCUGAGCCUCAGUCAGUAUCACUACCUGGGGGCUUACAGGUGCUUGAUAUUUGUGGUUGCUCUGAUCAACAUAGAUUCCUCCAGUAAUAUCCAUUCCAAGCUGUCCUGCUACAACUUUAAUUAUAAUCUUGAAGGUAAUUUAUUUGCUUAUGCAAUCCAACUAAUGUAACAAUAACCAGUACUAUUCCACUAUAGGGUUUUACUAGUAGAACCAGCUAGGAGGUUACUGCAGAAUACAAUGCAAGAAAUGAUGGCUUGGACUAAGCUGGUGGUGGAGCAGAGAGAAGAGGAAGGCCACAAAGAAAUCAUUUCUCCUAUAUCUAGGUGUAUUAGCUGUGACUUUGGAAAUAACAGCAACCAAAGUAAGCUAGUUUAAAUAGGAAAGGGCUAUUCAUUACAAGGACAAAGGGUCCUCAUAGAAUCUAUGGAUUAUGACAGGCACCUGUCACAGGUAGAUUAUAAAACUGGGGCCUAGAAACACUGGGUUGUUUGCAUCUGUAUUGUUUGCAGGUAGAAGAUGCUCACUAGAAAGCUCCUAACCUUUAGGUCCAUUCACUUAAACAGAAAUUCAUUUUUGUUCCAAGCCAAAUUUCCAUGGGGAGAUUCUGAUGGCCCAGCCUGGGUCAGGUGUCCACUGUUAGUAAGAUAUGGAUGACUGAGAAGUUCCUGUAAAAAGGGGGAGGGAGGGGACUGGCCGUAUUGAAAAAGCAUGGCGUGGGUACCAGCAGAGUCUGCAGUGGAAGAGUUGAUGCCCCGGCUGCUGCCGGUGGAACCCUGCGACUUGACGGAAGCUUUCUAUCCCUCAGUACCUCUGAGGACACCUCAGGAAUACCUGAGGCGGGUCCAGAUUGAAGCAGCUCAAUGUCCAGAUGUUGUAGUAGCUCAAAUUGACCCAAAGAAGUUGAAAAGGAAGCAAAGUGUCAAUAUUUCUCUUUCAGGAUGCCAACCUGCCCCUGAAGGUUAUUCCCCAACAUUUCAGUGGCAGUAACAAGUAGCACAGUUUUCAACUGUUCGACAAAGUGUGAACAAACAUAGAAGUCACUGGAAAUCACAGCAAUUUGGAUAGUAAUGUGACUAUGCCAAAAUCCGAAGAUGAAGAACGCUGGAAAAAAUUUUGUCUGGGUGAAAGAUUAUGUGCUGAAGGGGCAAUUGGACCAGCUACAUAUGAAAGUCCUGGAAUCGAUUAUGUACAAAUUGGUUUUCCUCCCUUGCUUAGUAUUGUUAGCAGAAUGAAUCAGGGAAGAUGGCUUUAAGCUUUGUUGGCUUGUCUUGAAAAACCUUUAUUACCUGAGGCUCAUUCACUGAUCCGGCAGCUUGCAAGGUGUUCUGAAGUGAGGCUCUUAGUGGAUAGCAAAGAUGAUGACAGGGUUCCUGCUUUGAAUUUAUUGAUCUGCUUGGUUAGCAGGUAUUUUGACCAGCAUGAUUUAGCUGAUGAGCCAUCUUGAUGUAGCUGAUCUCACAGGGAUAGAAGAUAUUUCUGAUGAAAGCAGCCUAAAUCUGAAGAAAUGCAAUGCCAAUUUAAGUACAGAUUGUAUCACAUCUUCAAAAUUAUAUGAAGGGUCCUCAUCUUAGCCUGUGCAACUCAAGUUGAUAUUCAGAAUAUAAUUGUAUUGAUUUGAAUGUCUGAAACAUCCAUGGAAAAUCACAUCCAGUGUUUAAUGAAUAAUUUGAACAGUUUUCUGCAAUCACAUGCAUUUAAAACAAAUCAAGUGCCAUUUAUUGGUGAAGCAGCCAGCAUAGAAACUGUAUGAUGGAAUUUUACAGAGGUCCUUGGUGCUGUUUUAUUGUUUAUUUACAUAUAUGUAUAAAAUUUUAUUGAAAAUGUG